CACAUCAAUUGGAAACAGUCUAUGAUUUGAAUUCAGAUUUCAUCAUCUGCCUCCAUUUCCUGAAGGAGUCUGGAGUGAUCCAGGGUCAGAGCCAAUGAGCACUGUCAAGUGAGGACCCAGAUGGGUUUAAAGCUGGCAAGGGCCUUGGAAGCUGCAUAAGGACACCAAAGUGAGGAAGAGAUUUCUUCAAUAUAAGAGAGGCAGAAUUCGACUCAUUUCCUCUCUCUGAAUAUAACACAUUUUCCAUUAUCUCACACUGCUUCUCGGUGGAUGUGCUUUCUUGCCAGGGGAUAGGAAAAAUUGGAAUAAAGGAGCUAGAAGGAAUUGUAAAAACCAUCUAGUCAUUUUCUAGAUGAGGAAACAGGCCAUGAUGAAUGAUCUGGGCAAUAUCACCCUGAUGAGGAUCUGUCAGAAUCAGUCAGCUCUGCAGGAAGGGGGGCGGGAGGGAAAGGGGGGAGAAGAAUUUCAGGGAGCAAGUCAGAUUUUAUUUUGAACAGCAAGGUGGGUUUUGUCCUUAAAGAGAUUAGUAGCAAGCUAGACUUAAGAGUCUCACACUUAUACAAAUUUCUGGGCCAGGUGUCAUGAGCUGUUAGUUCUUACAUGGCCAGUUAAGUACAAAGAACAGAAAAACAGGAUGUGGUUGCCCAUCCAGUCAGGUCCAGGAGGUGUGGAUCUUGCUACAUGUUUCAAAGAUCUGGGUCAUGUUAGCCCCAGUCCCCAAAACAGCCUUUGUUACUAGGAAAAGUUUCUGUUGUUGUUGGGCAAGUUUUCCACAAGGGAAGGUACAAGGCAAAGGCCAAAGGCAAUUUCUUCAACCCAGUAGCGAUCUCCUACCUCCCUUGUGAGUGAAACGGGAAAUUGAGGAUUUCUCAGACUAAUAACCUUAGAGAGAAAGUUAUUGACACAGAGCAAGCACUUUAUAAAAGCUUUGGACUAACUGUUGACCCAAAAGAGGGCCACGUCCAUCAGAAUUGAUCAUCAUGUAGUAUUGU